GGAGACGUGGGAGAGCGGUCUAAUCCAGCACCUUGCUAAGGUGUCGUACGGUUUACCGUACCGUGAGUUCAAAUCUCACCGUCUCCGCCA
rnacentral:tRNA from 4 species